rnacentral:miRNA from 1 species
UUGCGCUAUCCAUCCUGAG